rnacentral:rRNA from 1 species
GACGAACGCUGGCGGCGUGCCUAACACAUGCAAGUCAACGAGAAAGGGGUAGCAAUAUCCCGAGUACAGUGGCGCACGGGUGAGUAACACGUAGGCAAUCUGCCUUCAGGACGGGGAUAAUUUCGCGAAAGCGGGACUAAUACCCGAUGAUGCAGCGGCACCGCAUGGUGACAGUUGUUAAAAGCCGCAAGGCGCCGGGAGAUGAGCCUGCGUCCCCUUAGGUAGUUGGCGGGGUAACGGCCCACCAAGCCCGCGAUGGGUAGCUGGUCUGAGAGGAUGGCCAGCCACACUGGAACUGAGACACGGUCCAGACUCCUACGGGAGGCAGCAGUGAGGAAUAUUGCGCAAUGGCCGAAAGGCUGACGCAGCGACGCCGCGUGAGGGAUGAAGUCCGUUAGGAUGUAAACCUCUUUUGCAGGGGAUGAAUGUCUCGCUAUACGCGGGAUUGACCGUACCCUGCGAAUAAGGAUCGGCUAACUACGUGCCAGCCGCCGCGGUAAUAC